CUUCUGCUGUCAUUCAAACGUAUCUCUUUUCGCUUCUAUCUCUCAAUAUCUGUUCUUCAGAUCUAUCUAACAUAGUUUAUCUUCUUCAAUUUUCGUAUUCAGAUCUGUGUAGAUCGUUCUUCGAUCUACGUUUUGAAUAUGGAUUUGAUGUGUUUCUGUAACGACUCGUCGGUUGACCAACCUAACGGUGUGUUUGUUCGGUUUGCGUGGAUCGUGGCCGUUGAUUGAGGAAGAGCAUGUAGAUCUGAUGCUUUUCACGUUUUUCAAGGUAGAUUAGCAUCAGGUCUGUUUGGUUUUCAUAGAUUUGUGGAGUUUGAAGCAUAGUUUUGAUCGAUCGAGGCGUUACAAGAGCUUAUCGAUCUGGAUAGAGAUGCAAAGGACUAUUUGAUCAGUCCCUCGAAAAGUGAAUAAUUGGAAGUAUCACACAUCUCGUUGCAGUUUCGACCGGUUACCAUCUAUUGAGGGUUGAAUCUACGAUCGUGAUUAUGUUUAUAAGGUUAUGAUUGUUUUAUUUUGAUGUCUAUAAUUAUUUAAAUGUCUCAUGUUCAUUUAGUUUUUCUUUAUUGCAUGCAUAUGUACGAGAAGAUGAAAGAAUUGAGUGAUGAGAGAGGAAAAAAAAGUGAGGAUAUUUAUUGUUGAUGUUACCAGGCCUUUGCCAUGUUGGGUGCGCUCGCAUGGCAGGUCAAAAAGUACCUAAUAAACGUAUUUAUUUUUGGUGUUUUGAGAGGAGAGGCACGGGGUUUUAUUUGCCCGGCUCUCCUCUCUUCGCGUGUCUCGUGUUCUUUUUAUUUUUCCUGCACUUCCCAUGUUCCUGGUUCGAACAACUCUGCAUCGAUCAAGUGGUUACUUGUCCUCGAAUUGGUCUCUAUUUAUUUAUGAACUGUGUCAUCUUGGAAGACCAAUUCAAGGACAAGUAACUCAUGUUGAUUUGCUUAACACGGCGACGGACAAAGCAACGUUUCCACUGCAGCACUCCGCUAGAGGUACAAACUCAAUUCUCUUUGCGAAAUUUAAUUUCACAUUUUUCAUUAUUAUUAUUCACAUUUUUUACAGUAGCUAUCAAUUAAGACGAUAAUUUUCGUUCAGACGCUCAUUGACAUUUACAAAUUUUUUUAAAGGAGAAUUGCUCAAAAAAUGUGUUUGAUAUCAUAAUCACCUACGCCUUUUAAUUUUAUUUCAACUAUCUAAAAAAUGUUCGAGGAUGCGGUUUUCUAAAAUUUAUGCUGCUUAAUGGUUAAUUGAACUUUUUAACCUGAGAUAAACAUAGGCCUUUAUUAGUUGUGGAGAAUUUAUGCUUUAAUACAUCUUUGAACGGUUUAAAUACGUCUUUAAAUGGUUCAAGUACUAAGUACGGGUGUGGUCUAUUUAACUUGCAAAAUUGCAUCUGGCGUAUCUUUUUUUGAUUUUGAGCCGUCCAGAUAAUUAAAUUGGCCAUUAGCCCCUUAUCUUCUCAGUUAUUUAUUGGAGCAGUAAUUGGUUGAUUAACUAUAUGAGCUUUAACAAGCUGUCGGCAAUAGUGAAGUAGUCAUGGCAGAAGCUUGCGUAUCGUAAUCCCCGAUUUUGCCUAAGUUGUGGUUUAUUACUGUACCUUCCUUUAAAUUUCCGUACUAUUCUCUCUUUGCAAUUAGUACCAUGUCUUCCUUGAUGAUGAGUUAUUAUUUUAUUAUUUUUGAGUAAUGCCUUUUUUUUAAUUUAAUAGCGGGAGAACAAUUAUGUUUUUCUAAUCAAUAAUGUAAUUGUGUCGAUCUGUUGGAGAUUGUUGUAAUGAAACCCUUAAUUGUAGCCCUUUGGAGGGGUACCCUUUUAGGCAGGUUCUGGAUGUUGGUACCCUGGUUCUGGAUGUUUCCUAAAAACCAUUCAUUGUACCCCGGUUAGAUUUGGCUUGUAACAAAUAUGAUGUGAGGUUUUGCUUUACAAUAAGCUGGCGGAGCAUUGAUGCUUGCUGAAGCUGUUAACUGGUACUGGAUAAGUGGUGCUGCUCUUGAUGUUAUCCGGUGAACUAGAACUCCAAGCUGAUCAAGUAGUGGACUGUUUCUGUUGAAGAAUUGUUCGAGUAGCUGGUGCUGUUGCAGAUUUUGCAGGAAUUUUAAUUAUGAAGGCUUAUUUUACCGUGUUGAUGUGACCUUGGACAAGGGUUACACUGGACACCAACUCAAUUUCCUCAGAAGGAAGGAGAAGCAAGCACGUCCUUAGUGGCCUCUAUUCCUGACUUGACCGGGCUGCUUCGGGUUUUAGGAUGUUUUGUAGCUGCUGUGGUUUGUAAUCAACAAUUUUGUCGUCCGGUGUUAUACCUGCUGUUGCGUCAUGCUGAAGUGUUGUCAUUCUGAAGUGCACUUUCCAUAAUAUUGUUUUUUAGCUCUCAGGCUAUUUCUAAGAUUAUUAAGUAUAUAUCCUUUGGAAGUGUUCUGUGGAAGUGUUUUCUCAGAAACCUUGUUGCCAGUAACUAGUAUGUGGGCUAAAGACUUUGUUGUGCUCUCUGAUAUUCCUGAGGUGACUUUUUGCGUAUCUGCAGGCCGGAGUAAAUUUUAGUGUUUGAUUGCCGUUUGGAGUAAAAUCUACUUUAUUAUGAACUGGAGGAGUAAAAUUUGGGCUUACCUACCGUCUGGAGUAAAAUUUUGCUUAUCUACCGUCUGGAGUAAUACACAUGUAUAGAAGAAUGAUGGUGCGUUUAAUUGUUCUGCUGUUGUGAAUUUGGUCAAGUCAUUAGGUCAAUUGUUUGUUUUUUCGAGUUAUAUUAAUUGCUUUUUGGGUAGACCGUUGAUCUUGUUUCAGUUUGGCGGUGUAUUAUUAAUUAUUUGAAGUGGCAUGGUAGAUAGUUAAUAUGAUCUUGUUCACUUUGCCUGUGUAUUUAUUAAUUAUUAGACCUGGCAUUAGAGAUCGUUAAUAUGAUCUCGUUUCACGUUGCAGAGUUUAUUUAUUAAUUAUUAGACCUGGCAUGAUAGAUCGUUAAUAUGAUCUUGGUUCACAUUGGCAGUGUAUUUAUUAAUUGUUAACUGGCAUGAUAUACUUGGUUGUUAGAACUGCCAUGCAAUUGAAUAUUUGUGGAGUGUAGUAUAGUUUGGGUGGCUGUCUCGGUAGUGUAGUAUUAUUUUCUAAAUUGAUACUGUUAUGGAAUAUUUUCGAGUAAGUCGCUACUUAAUAUUUUAGAUUAAUCAUAUUAUUGGUGAUGAGGUGGGCAAACAUCUCGUAUUCUUUCUGGUCCAUCACUACCUUUUUGAUUAGAAGGUUGGUCUCUAGAAUCGCCGUGGGUUAUUAUAGGCGGUCGUAAAACUUGCUGUCUUGCAUUAAUGGUAAUGCAUUGCUAUUUUUUUUUUAAAAACGGACCGCUAAUUGUUAAUGAACAUCGAUGUACCAUAUAGUGAACGCGUUUUUCCUGACCACAAAAAAAUUGUUGAUGAACAUCAUCGCUAUUUUACCCAACACUAACAAAGUCGGUAGACAUUAAUAGAGUGACGAACAUUAAUUUCUUUUUCAUUUUAAGUUAAGUAAUAGGGUAAUGGUUUCUCUUUAAAUUUCCGUUUAAUUUGAUAUUUUUAAUAUAUACAAGGCUCUCUUUUCCUAUUUAUCUUAUCUUAAUUGUUUUUAAUUUUUAAUUUAAUUAAAUUAUUUGGUGUCGUUACUUGCUGUUUGUAUGGGUCCAAGAGCUCGGUUUAUGGUGGAGCGCUCGAUGCCAAUUGCAUGCGAGAGGUCGGUGGUUCGAAUCCACCUGGAUCCCUAAUUUAUGUGUUGCGUAAUACUGAUGCAUAGUAUUUUCUACGAUUGAUUUUCUGUGUGGAAUUAAAUCAUGUUUCUUGUAGUUUUCUUUUCCCGAUCAUGUAGUAAUUUGCAUAUUAGAUUCGCCUCUUGCACGGAUUAUUUUGAUGGAGAUGUUAUGGUUUGUUAUUAGUUUAUGGUUUGUUAUUAGUUUAUUUAGUUUUCGUAGAUAUCACGGGUCGUAGAUAUCACGGGAUUUUGUUUUACCUGAUGGAUUUAAUAUUAUGACGUCAUUUAAUUAUCUGGCGUUUAUAACAUUUCAGUGUUUUAAUCUCUCCUGUAGGUUGUUAUUUCCAUCUGGUUGAUAAUCCGAAAGACAAUUAACUACUCUACCGAGUAGAGGGUUGUUAGGGUUUUUGCUACCUUCUCAAAUUUUCGUGAUCAACGGAAAAAUCUUUGGGACUAAAGUAGAAAAUAGAGUUGUAAGAGCGAAAUGAUGGAAUUAAAAAACAUUUCAAAUAUUGUAGUCUUGGUGACCUUAAUUUAAUCUUUUAUUUUUUUCGGUGGAGUUGGUUCUUUUUGAGCCACUAAUUGUAACUGCUCAAUUUAAUAUUCGGCCGUGAUGCAGCUAGUUGGAUAUUGUGGUUGUACCUAACACAAAAAGAACGGUAGAUUCAUUUUCUUAAAAGUAUAAUUGCACAAGGAUUGAAGGUGUUGUAAAAACAUUGUAUAAAUCUUAUUUUCUAGCGAACAACAAUUGUUAAUUUUUGUUUUCUAUUUAUUACUUCUAUAUUUUUAAAAAUACUACUCAAAAUUAAUUUAAUUUUAUUAUAAGAUGUUUUCAUUAAUUAUCAGAUGUUUUCAUUUAUAAAUAGGACAUAUUUACAUCUUUUCAGUUGAUUUUUCAUUUGCUUUGUGUUAAAAAUAAAAAAAUUAUCUCUAGAAUAAUUGAAGGAUCACAAAAGUAAUUAGCACCAAAUAUAGAUCUAGACUUUAGGGACAUGGUCAAAGUCAUGUGUUCGAAAACGCUAACAAGCUAACACGCUAAAUCAUGGCUGUUCACCGCCCUUCCAGCUCAGUUUAUAUGCUCUGUCUAUCCUCAUGACAUUUUUUUAAUCCUUAUUUUUUCACAUGAUUAUUAUUUACAUUAGUUUUUACGUAAUUUUUAAGUACUUUUUUUAAAUUUAUAAUUUAAAAUUAAACUGUUUGACUUGAAAUUAAAAUUAAUGCCACAUAAAUUAAAGAAAGUAUUUAAUUUAAUGUGAAAAGCGUGAAAAUUCUGGAAAAAUCAUGUUAUUAGACGUGAGAAGCAUGGUAUAACACGUUACAAAAGUUAAGAUGUGCUAGCAAGAAUAAAACAACUUUUCCCCUAAUAAAGUCCAAGUAAUUGCGUGCCCUUUGCCGCCUCGUCAAUCUCUUUGCCGCCUUUUACGAUUAGCGCAUCAACCGUUGAAUACCUUAUCCCAAAUUAAUCUCAACCGUCCAAUCCUUCCAGUUCCUCUGUAUAUUACAGUUUGAUUUUGCUUUUUAUUUCAUCAUUCAUACAUACCUCACCUUUCACCUUAUGCCAACAGCUGUUUUCUCCAGAUCUCUUCUAUGUAGUUUAAGAUUAUCUUCUUCAGUUUCAUAUUCAGAUCUGUGUAGAUCGUUUUUCUAUCUACCUUUUGAAUAGGGAUUUGAUGUGUUCCUGCAAUGGCUCGUCAAUUGACCGGCCAAACGGUGUAGCUGUUCGUUCUGCGACGGCGAUGACCGCCGGUUGACGCAGAUGUUGUAGGUCUGAAGCUUUUGGCACAGAUUGGUGAAUAUGGACUAAGACUCCACAUACCGGAAGAGAAAUUGACGUUAUUUCUAGAACGGAAUAUAGAUAUUGGUACAACAGGAGGCUCGAGGUCUGACCUCGAGCGUAAUAUACGUUACCAUUGAAGAGACUUUAGCCACAUCAACACCCGAAUGAGGCGAUCAAGAAAGUCCUCCUCGGGAUUGUUUGGUAGUUGAUUAGAGUUAUACAGAUCCGAAUUGAGCUGCAAGGCCUUUUGAAUUGAUAUCCGGUUACAAAUCAAACAGAAGGAUCGGUGAUCUUUUGAUGCUGUUGCAUAACACAUCGAGCCUGUUGGUGAAUCUAAGGUUAUAAUAGUUUUAUUCUAAUGUUAUAUAAAUAUUUGAAUGGUUCAUGUGCAUUAGUUUUUAUUUAUACAUGCAUAUGUAUGAGAGGAUGAAAGAUUUGAGUGGCGUUGUGAGGAAAAAAGUGAGAGUAUUUAUUGUUGAUGUUACCGGGCCUUUGCCAUGUUGGGUGCGCUCGCAUGGCAGGUCAAAAAGUACCUAAUAAAAGUAUUUAUUUUUGGUGUUGGAGAGGAGAGGCACGGGGUUUUAUUUGCCCGGCUCUCCUCUCUUUGUGUGUCUCGUGUCCUCUUUUAUUUUUCCUGUUUCCAUUUCAUUCCGUGGUCACUUGUCCUCGAAUUGGUCUUACUUAUUUCUGAAAUGUGUCAUAUUGGACGACCAAUUCGAUGACAAAGUAACUGGUGUCGAUUUGCUAAUUGCGGGGAUGGACAAACAAGCAACGUUCUAUUGCAGCACUUCGUUAGAGGUACAAUCAUCAAUUCUCUUUGGUAUAGUUAAUUAGUUGCAUCAUUAUUUUCAGAUCAGCUGGCGACUCCGAACUACUUGGCUUACUUAAUUUCACUCCACAGUUUAUCAAUCUUAAAAUUUUCUAAGCGGUUGCAUACUUCUAUAAAGUUUGAAUUUGAAUAACUUGUGACUUAGUGUUCACUGUUUUCACCACUGGAUGUAGGUUGCUUUCAGAGGCAUCUUAGUGUUGAUAAGGUAAAAUCUUAUUAAGAAAGGAAACAAGAUGGUACAAAAGACUGCAUCAUAAGCAGUCAACACCUACAGCAGCAAAGCACAACAACAGCAUACCCAGUAGAAUCCCACAAUGUGGGGUCUGGGGAUGGUAGAGUGUACGCAGACCUUAGGUAGGGGCUGUUUCCGAAAGACCCUUGGCUUAAGAGAUCGGCUUAAGAGAGAACAAGAGAAGCACCAAUUACAAAUUUACUAACAAAUCCAAAAACUCCAUAUACUUAUCCAUAAUAUCAAUUGGACAUCUUUUGCACCAAAAAAAACCAGAUCCGGAGACAAGUAUUUUUUAUUCUGGAUAUAUGCCCCCGUUUGCACUAAUUACAUUCUUAUUUGUUUCAAAGCAGAGGCCUGCUGAGCCCGUGGAUUGGCUUAAGACUACUUGGAAACUAUUUUCAUAAGAACUGCUGGUCCUCGAGUGUUGGAAGGAACUUUUUAUUUGUGGUUUUCAUAAAACUGGUAUAAGGACCUUAAUUUGCCUUAAUCAGAAACUAGUAACCAAUCUUGUGUUGGGCGUUCGUGUGCUGUCAAUUGGACCAACUAUUUAUAUUGUUUUUGUUCAUUUCGCUGCAAAUCAGUUUCUACUAACCAUCAGUCUCAUUAUCUUAUUAAGCUUAAGACAUUCAAAUAAUUAGAUUUUAAUUGAUUGAUUUAGCUACAUGACAGAUAAACAUUAUAGAAACUAACUAGCUGGUUUCUAGCAAAGAGACCAGGAACUAGUUAGGUUGUCUCUAACAUAGUCGAGGAUGGUUACAGUGGUCAUUUUUCAUUACAACCGCUUGCGGUAAAUUUUUAUUUUCUAUCAAUUGAACUUUGACUUGACUUGGCAAAUAUUUAAGAGUUGCUCUUGCUCAAUUAGUUAUGUAUUCUAGUAUAGAGUUUUGUGGGAGCUCCUCUCUCUAUGAUGUAACUGUAUCUACUUCAAUGGACAUUCUUGUUAUGGUACUGUUAUUGUAGUCCUUGGAGGGUACCUUUUUGUAAGACAGGUUUGGAUUUAACCUAUAAAGCAGCUCAGUGUCUCUAAAAGUUAAAUUGAAGCUUCUGAAAUCAUGGUUAAUGGCUGUGAUUGAUAAUAAGGGAGAGCCCGGUCAUGUGGCCUGAAGUUAAUCAUGCUGCUGUUGGUGUAUUUCUGCUUGCUGAAUGUAAUCUAUCAAGAAAUGUUCGAGCUGCUGCUGCUGCUGUAUUUCCCGUUGAAGAUUUGUUAUUUCGUGUCUGCUGUGUGACACACAGGAAUUCUUAAUUGCCGCUGCUCCUGCUGGUUUGAAGCAGUGGGUUCUAUUGUUUCUGGUGCCGUCAUAUGCUAGAAGUUUGAGCACCGAUUAGUUUUGCAUGAUGCUGCAUCCUGAUGAAGCAUGGCAGGCUGCAGUUGCCACAGAAUCUUCGGAAGUGCAUUGUUCAUUGAGUGUUAUAGUCAUCUUAAGCAUCAGUCAUAUUAUAAGCUCUUUGCUAAUUUCUGAAUGGAACCGUCAACCACUUUUGGGAGUUUUUCCUAGCUGAGUGGUCCGACCAUGUGUCAUGGUUGAUUCUUAGCUUUGCUCAAAUGACGAUUCUCUACUUUUUCAUACCCUCCAGUUAUCUGGCCAUCUGGUUCUGUCUUGCAAAUUUUUUGUUUUCCUCUAUGCAUUUGUUAUAUGCGGUUGAUUUUCAUUUUACAACCUUUAUGUUUGCGCUUUGUUUAUAUACACAUGUGGCUGUUAUAUAUCGAUAUGAUGAUGUCUUUGGUAAUUUAUUUUAGUUAGUUCUUGCGGCAGAAAUGGUGUUUGAGCGGAUUGAAAUAGUAUCAGUAUUUUGUGUCGGUGCUGCCCUGCAGGGGAUGAAGUUUCGGCCCAUGCCAACUCCGAAUUCCUAAUGUUUGUGCCGAUGAAGUUGCUAAUUCUCACUAUAAUUGAGAAUGUUUUAAGUCUUUUCUUCAAGAGACGCUGUUAUUGAUGGCAAGAGUUUCCGGCAGGUUAUACAUUAAUUUUUCAGGUGUUCUGAUUUCUAUCCAGUCGGCAGGGGCAUCUUUCAUUAUCGUACUGGUACUGGUAGGAUGGCCUGGUAAUUUUCUUUCAUUGGAUAUCAUGGCAUCGAUGUAAAUUUCGGCCAUCCUGCGAUAAUUUGGUUUCGAAGGCUGUGUAUUUGUCAGAAGAACUCGAAUGCUGGAAACUUCUAUUUGGGAAUAUUUUAUAAUUAUCUGAUCGUAGUAUAGAAUUUUUUUUCCUGUAGGUAGUAUAGAUUCACUAUUAAUGGAAGUUUCAUCAACUUAUAAAUGUUUUAGGUUACACUAUAUGAUGUGUAAUAGGUAUCAGUCAAUAGUCUCUUUCAGAUUGAUUUUUGAAUUAUUGCAGGUUAGUGUCAGCAAAUUGCUUCUUAGUGACCAUUAAAAGUUAGUGGUAAUGCCUUGCUUCUGAUUGACUGCCAGUAAUAUCAAGAUUUGUAGAUACUUUGGUUGAUCACUGCCAUAAUUAAACGUUUUUGUCUUAUGUUUCUCGGACUUCUCAAAAAAUGUUGUUGUACUCAGUUUUGUUCCUCUAAAAAUGUAUAGCUUUUAAAGGGUUUUGACACGCCUUUUGUUGGAUGGAUCCAAGAGCUCGGCUUUGGGGGACUGCUCGAUGUAUUGUAUUCGAGAGGUUGGUGGUUCGAAUCCACCUGGAUCCCUAAUCUAACUGUAACAUAUGUUUACUAAUUUCACAUCCUCUCUCUGUGUUUCUUGUCGAAUUUACAUUUCAUAAGUGUUUCUGUCCAAUACAAGAAAUUAUUACAACUUUGUCCUGCAUCAACAACUGGAGGUAUGCUGCCAUUAGAAUGUUUGAUCAGCUGAUUUUUCUGAUAAUAAUAUUUCAUUCUCCGUGCA